rnacentral:sRNA from 12 species
UAGUAGUUUGAUGGAUCGAGAGAUGAAGAACGAGGAGUUGGACUUAAAUCUGGUAAAGGGACAAAUAAGGAUGUUGCGUAAGGAUAAUAACCCAUGGAGGGCGAGAGAGUCGUCCUUAUCUUCACAAGGCAAACAGAAGAGAUAGUCUUUCAUCACAAAGGAAGGCGUCGUGAACACAGUAUGUGGCUCGUCUGUAACUCCCGAAGGUGAUUACACCUUUAUGUGUACGGGGCGAUAUAGGGGUCUAGAAGACUGGCGUACACCUACA